AUGAACGCUGGCGGCGUGCCUAAUACAUGCAAGUCGAGCGCACGGACGAGAAGCUUGCUUCUCUGAUGUUAGCGGCGGACGGGUGAGUAACACGUGGAUAACCUACCUAUAAGACUGGGAUAACUUCGGGAAACCGGAGCUAAUACCGGAUGAUAUUUUGAACCGCCUGGUUCAAAAGUGAAAGACGGUCUUGCUGUCACUUAUAGAUGGAUCCGCGCUGCAUUAGCUAGUUGGUAAGGUAACGGCUUACCAAGGCAACGAUGCAUAGCCGACCUGAGAGGGUGAUCGGCCACACUGGAACUGAGACACGGUCCAGACUCCUACGGGAGGCAGCAGUAGGGAAUCUUCCGCAAUGGGCGAAAGCCUGACGGAGCAACGCCGCGUGAGUGAUGAAGGUCUUCGGAUCGUAAAACUCUGUUAUUAGGGAAGAACAUAUGUGUAAGUAACUGUGCACAUCUUGACGGUACCUAAUCAGAAAGCCACGGCUAACUACGUG
rnacentral:rRNA from 1 species